GAUGAAGAACGCAGCGAAAUGCGAAAAGUAAUGUGAAUUGCAGAAUUCAGUGAAUCAUCGAAUCUUUGAACGCACAUUGCGGCCAUAGGUAUUCCUUUGGCCAUGCCUGUUCGAGCGUCAUUUACACCCUCAAGCCUAGCUUGGUGUUGGGCGUCUGUCCCGCCGUUCUCGCGCGCGGACUCGCCUCAAAGUCAUUGGCGGCGGUCGUGCCGGCCCCCUCGCGCAGCACAUUUGCGCUUCUCGGAGGCCCGGCGGAUCCGCGCUCCAGCAAGACCUUUCACGACUUGACCUCGGAUCAGGUAGGGAUACCCGCUGAACUUAAGCAUAUCAAUAAGCGGAGGA
rnacentral:misc_RNA from 1 species